CUGUCAAGCAAAGUCUGUCAGUAGCAAUGUAAAGCAAACUGAAGUAUGGCAACACUCACAGAGCAGUAUUGCGCUAAGAAAAGCAGCAAUGUACAUCGAACCGAAACAUAUUUUUUUCCGCUGAGCGCGCUCUUCGUACGUCAACUAAAAUUGCCGCUCGCGGUUUAUUGAAGCAUUUGGAAAUUGUUAUUAUUAUGAGAGGGACAAUUUAAACUGGAGUAAAAACGAUGUCAAUCAUUAUGAUAAACGAGAUCAAAAAAUACCUAUUUGCAAACGGACUAUGCUGGAGAAAAUAAUGUUUGAAUCAAAUCAUUGCUUCCGCAGCAAACUUAGAAGACAAAUAGGGAGCAAAGAGAACAUGAGCACCAUGGUAGAAACCUGUUUUUAACAUCAGUUCAGAAACUGAAGAAGCCCAAAGAAAAUAAUUAUGCCACUUGUUAAUUGUAAAUUAAAGUAUUUCUCUUGAACAAUGUCACAUUCACAUACCAGUGUAAUUUUGAAAUGGUUUUACAAUAUACUUAUAUAAAUAUACAGAUUAAAAAUAAAUAAAACACAACUGCAGAUA